AUGCAAAAACUUGAAAUUAUUGAAAAUAAAGUUGCUACCGUAGAGUUAAUUGAAAAUUUGGAUAAAAAGAUCCACAACCAAAUUACUCAAUAUGGAUCUAAAGUAGGAGUCACUUUGAAAAAUAUUAAGGAGAAGGAACCCAUAGUUAAUGAAAGAAUAAAUCAGGAUUCCACUAGAAUCGAUAUACUUGAGGGUAUCAUUACCCACUUGGGAACCGCCUUUUCUUCCGUAAAGAAUACUCUAAGUCCUCCAACUAAAAUUUCCAAGCUUAUGUAUGUUCCUAAAAAUAAGGGUGAAUCAUCUAGCAAGGAAACUGCGGAUCUCAAAUCUAUAAGUAUUCAUCCCAAUCUUUUUGCUAUCAUUAAGGAACCGUUUGCUACUAAUGAUUGUUUCAAUUUUGUGCCUAGAAGUUUAAUAAUUUAUAAAAGGAAAGAAACUCUUAAGGGUGGUAGAUUUCUCAUUAAAUAA
rnacentral:rRNA from 1 species